rnacentral:tRNA from 1 species
CGGGGUGUGGCGCAGUUGGCUAGCGUACUUGCAUGGGGUGCAAGGGGCCGGAAGUUCGAGUCUUCUCACCCCGA